CCGCUCUCGAACCUAACCUCAAAUGUGUGUUUUUUUCGGCCUGCUCAGCUGUUUACGUAGCAACUGUGCGAAGAGCGGGAGAGGGGGGGCAGUCGACGACGCAUGCGUUUCGCGGCGAAUGGCGCUCGCCGCACAGUGGCCGCCAACAGUUGCCGCCCACACAAACUCCACAUUGCGCCGAGUAACACGCGGGCGCACAACUUGCGGCAGCCACUGUGCCUCGCUGGUUCGCCGUGUGUGACUUUCGGGAAUGUAGGUCAGUGACACCCAAAACACAUGGUCCGUCCGCCUGUGUGGCACGUCACAAGUCGUCGCCUUUUGUAAGCGCUACUUGUGCUCAAGCGAAUCUGGACAAUACGCACCGAUCGAGUGGCAUCGUCUUGAUAUAAUCAAGUAAUUUGCCAGCGCUACCUGUUCCAAAGGCCUUUCACCGGGAAUAACCUUUGCAGUGAGCUGAGUUACUCGGGGAUUUGAUAAAAAAAAUUCGUCAACACAUUAUUGGCCCGCUCGGAGAUUCAUUUGGGACGGAUAUCUUGUUUUCUCUUGAAAGCAAUGAUAAUUUUGAUAAAGUGGAUAACUCACCAUCGCCACACCUCCUCCUCCUCCUCCUUCACCUUCGUCUUCUGCCGUUUGGUGGGGGAGACGACUUCGGGCUCCUGGUGGAGAAAUGAUAUGUAUUGUUCAGUCAUGUGUGUACUUGAGAUAAAAUAACGCAAAGCCUA